UUCUACUUGGAUGAGAAAUGGAAGUUAUCAAAGAAAGAAACUUCUUCAUCAGCAUCAUCAAUAAGGAGCCGUUCAUCAUUCAUCAUCAAGAACCCUUCUAAUAAAAGAUGUGCUUUCACAAGGAAAUGUGCGAGCUAGCUAGAGGUUUAUCAGUGGCAUCCAAGCAAGAAGGAAGAAGAAGAAGAAAGUGGAUAUCAUAAGCUAUGUAUAUAUUUACACUUGUAUAUAAAGAGUUGUUCUUUGAAUCUCUCUCCAUAUAAGGAGCUAUGGGUUUCUUCUAAUGUGACUGUUGCUUUCAAAAUAUUAAUAUAAAUUAGAAGGAAUCGUCAUCAAAGUA